rnacentral:rRNA from 1 species
AUUGAACGCUGGCGGCAUGCUUUACACAUGCAAGUCGAACGGUAACAGGCCGCAAGGUGCUGACGAGUGGCGAACGGGUGAGUAAUGCAUCGGAACGUGCCCAGUCGUGGGGGAUAACGCAGCGAAAGCUGCGCUAAUACCGCAUACGAUCUAUGGAUAAAAGCGGGGGACCGUAAGGCCUCGCGCGAUUGGAGCGGCCGAUGUCAGAUUAGGUAGUUGGUGGGGUACAGGCUCACCAAGCCAACGAUCUGUAGCUGGUCUGAGAGGACGACCAGCCACACUGGGACUGAGACACGGCCCAGACUCCUACGGGAGGCAGCAGUGGGGAAUUUUGGACAAUGGGCGCAAGCCUGAUCCAGCAAUGCCGCGUGCAGGAAGAAGGCCUUCGGGUUGUAAACUGCUUUUGUACGGAACGAAAAGGCUCUGGAUAAUACCUGGGGCUCAUGACGGUACCGUAAGAAUAAGCACCGGCUAACUACGUGCCAGCCGCCGCAGUAAGAC